UAAAAGAGCAAGCCAUUUGGGAAGCUAUAA
rnacentral:piRNA from 1 species